UACGGGGGGAGCAAGCGUUGUUCGGAUUUACUGGGCGUAAAGGGCGCGUAGGCGGCCACGACAAGUCAGUUGUGAAAUCUCUGGGCUUAACUCAGAACGGUCAACUGAUACUGUCGGGCUAGAGUACUGCAGGGGAGACUGGAAUUCCUGGUGUAGCGGUGGAAUGCGCAGAUAUCAGGAGGAACACCGGUGGCGAAGGCGGGUCUCUGGGCAGUAACUGACACUGAGGAGCGAAAGCGUGGGGAGCGAACAGG
rnacentral:rRNA from 1 species